UUGAUUGUGUGCUACUAUGGCUGU
rnacentral:siRNA from 1 species